CUUAGACUUGUUAGAACCAUCAAAGGGCCAGAAAAAAACUGAGAUUUGGGCAAAUUCAACAAUUCCAAGACUAGGAGAAGCUUUAAGACCAGACUUAGUAAUCUGGGAUAAUAAGAACUGCAUUGCCACUGUCAUUGAUGUUAUUCUACCCUUUGAAAAUAGAUAUUCUGCAAUAUCAGCCUGUCAGCAUCUGGCUCAGGAAGGCUAUAGAGUAUAUUACAACAUGCAGAUAAGUGGAGGCCCUCAGAGGAUGGAUUCCAGCUUAUUUAAGAUAGACCUAUGAUCAUUUUCAUCAUUCUCUUCUGCAAGUUCUUCAGAACGUCUUAAAGUGUGAUGCCCCCAAAUGGAACUGCCAUUUUAAUUGAGAUCUGACUGGAAAAGAGUAAUAAGGUAAGAUUGCUUUUUUCUUAUUUCACUUAUAUUAUGUAGUAUACUAUCAAAGUUAUAUUUUCAUUUUGAAAUU
rnacentral:lncRNA from 1 species